rnacentral:ncRNA from 10 species
CUAAUACAUCAAGAGAGAGAUUAAGUUCUCCUCCAACCUGCCAACUCCGGCAAGGUGGAAAAAAUGAUGUGGUUAACCAACAAACAUAGGAGUACAA